rnacentral:rRNA from 1 species
CCUACGGGUGGCAGCAGUGGGGGAUAUUGCACAAUGGGGGAAACCCUGAUGCAGCGACGCCGCGUGUAGGAAGACGGUCCUCUGGAUUGUACACUACUGUCCCCAGGGACGAAGACGACGGUACCUGGGGAGGAAGCUCCGGCUAACUACGUGCCAGCAGCCGCGGCAAGACGUAGGGAGCGAGCGUUGUCCGGAAUUACUGGGUGUAAAGGGAGCGUAGGCGGGGAUGCAAGUUGGGGGUUAGAUCUACCGGCUCAACGGGGAGUCGCACUCAAAACUGCAGACCUUGAGUGAAGGAGAGGCAGGCGGAAUUCCUAGUGUAGCGGUGAAAUGCGUAGAGAUUAGGAGGAACACCAGUGGCGAAGGCGGCCUGCUGGGCUUUUACUGACGCGGAGGCUCGAAAGUGUGGGGAGCAAACAGGAUUAGAUACCCUGGUAGUC